AUUGAACGCUGGCGGAAUGCUUUACACAUGCAAGUCGAGCGGCAGCGCGGGGGCAACCCUGGCGGCGAGCGGCGAACGGGUGAGUAAUGUAUCGGAACGUACCCAGUCGUGGGGGAUAACUAUCCGAAAGGAUAGCUAAUACCGCAUACGACCUGAGGGUGAAAGCGGGGGACCGUAAGGCCUCGCGCGAUUGGAGCGGCCGAUAUCGGAUUAGCUAGUUGGUGAGGUAAAGGCUCACCAAGGCGACGAUCCGUAGCUGGUCUGAGAGGACGACCAGCCACACUGGAACUGAGACACGGUCCAGACUCCUACGGGAGGCAGCAGUGGGGAAUUUUGGACAAUGGGGGCAACCCUGAUCCAGCCAUUCCGCGUGAGUGAAGAAGGCCUUCGGGUUGUAAAGCUCUUUCUAGCAGGAACGAAACGGUGGUCCCUAAUACGGGCUAC
rnacentral:rRNA from 1 species